AAGACUGGGUAGAGUAGGACUGCAACUCAAUGAAAAUAGAAAAAAGUUUAAAAUACUCUGUGGAAGGUGCUCUCACAGCUGAAACAUAAAUAAAUAUCAAAAACAGUAAUGUAAAAAUAUGACAACCACAACUUUCACUGAGUCAGGUAAUGUUUUUGUGGCUUUAUUAACAGUGCUAUGUAACCACAGUCAUUCUUCUUUGGACUUCCAGAAUAUUUAGUAAGGUAUACAUGACUUUUAUUAAAUCUGUCUCAUCUCCCUCAACUAAAGGGACUUAUGUUUCUUUUAUUACAUAUUCUGCCCAGGGAGGGAAUAAGAAUAAGAAAAAAAAAAAUGUAUCGAGUAAGUCACUA